rnacentral:rRNA from 1 species
GACGAACGCUGGCGGCGUGCUUAACACAUGCAAGUCGAACGGAAAGGCCCUGCUUUUGUGGGGUGCUCGAGUGGCGAACGGGUGAGUAACACGUGAGUAACCUGCCCUUGACUUUGGGAUAACUUCAGGAAACUGGGGCUAAUACCGGAUAGGAGCUCCCGCUGCAUGGUGGGGGUUGGAAAGUUUCGGCGGUUGGGGAUGGACUCGCGGCUUAUCAGCUUGUUGGUGGGGUAGUGGCUUACCAAGGCUUUGACGGGUAGCCUGCCUGAGAGGGUGACCGGCCACAUUGGGACUGAGAUACGGCCCAGACUCCUACGGGAGGCAGCAGUGGGGAAUAUUGCACAAUGGGCGGAAGCCUGAUGCAGCAACGCCGCGUGCGGGAUGACGGCCUUCGGGUUGUAAACCGCUUUCGCCUGUGACGAAGCGUGAGUGACGGUAAUGGGUAAAGAAGCACCGGCUAACUACGUG